UUGGAGGGCAAGUCUGGUGCCAGCAGCCGCGGUAAUUCCAGCUCCAAUAGCGUAUAUUAAAGUUGUUGCAGUUAAAAAGCUCGUAGUUGAAUUUCGGGGUUAGUAAGUUGGUCAUGCCUUUGGUAUGCACUGGCUUUACUGAUUCCUCCUUCUUGACGAACCGUGAUGUCAUUAAUUUGGUGUUGCGGGAAAUCAGGACUGUUACUUUGAAAAAAUUAGAGUGUUUAAAGCAGGCUAACGCUUGAAUACAUUAGCAUGGAAUAAUGAAAUAGGACGUUAAUCCUAUUUUGUUGGUUUCUAGGAUCGACGUAAUGAUUAAUAGGGAUAGUUGGGGGCAUUAGUAUUCAAUUGUCAGAGGUGAAAUUCUUGGAUUUAUUGAAGACUAACUACUGCGAAAGCAUUUGCCAAGGAUGUUUUCAUUAAUCAAGAACGAAAGUUAGGGGAUCGAAGACGAUCAGAUACCGUCGUAGUCUUAACCAUAAACUAUGCCGACUAGGGAUCGGAUGAUGUUAAUUCUUUAAUGACUCAUUCGGCGCCUUACGGGAAAC
rnacentral:rRNA from 1 species